rfam:Triticum aestivum genome assembly, contig: Triticum_aestivum_CS42_TGACv1_scaffold_094578_2AL
UUCUUACUCCCUCCGUUCCGAAUUACUUGUCACGAGUAUGGAUGUAUCUAGAUGUAUUUUAGUUCUAGAUACAUCCAUUUCUACGACGAGUAAUUUGGAACGGAGGGAGUAUUUG